rnacentral:lncRNA from 1 species
GGAGUUAGCUCUGCGGCGGGCACAUCGCCCUACUCCUCAAUAAUGGGAUCUUCUACUAGAUCCGCUGGUGGUGCAACUAGGGCAACUCUAGGAUGUCCUCGUCCCAUACCUCAGGCCAGUGCCCUCCCCCGGCCUCUAGCAAUGGGGGGAGCAACUCCUUCCAGGUUCAAAAUGUCUGUUGCGCGUGUUCUCAUCAUCUAUGAGAGAAUAAGAGAAAGAACUUAGUAUACUAUCUGUCACACCUCCUUUUUAUCUACACUCCCGAAGAGGGUGUAUAAGGGAGUUUUUUCCAACUUAAAGUGACAACCGAAACGGGAUAAUUUUUAUUAAAAAAUCAGAGUCGCCACUUGGGAUAAUUUAUAGUGUCCCAAUUCACCGGUUCAAAUCCCGAAUCCAGGAAAAGAUUGACUCUGUAUUACAGUUCGCGAACCAGAAAUCCGAGUAAGGAAUUCUGUUAACCCGGGAGAAAGUGUUAGGCAUUCCUGAGUUCCGUGGUUCUAGCACGGUCGUCAACUGUUAUAAAUGGCCUAUUAUCUAAUUUUAAAACACUUUUAAACCCAUGUGCAUUUUUAACUUUUGAAAACCGCUUUUACUCAAUUUUUAAAGAGGAUUGAACGUAGUUUAAAAUACGUCUUUGGAUCGCGCCAUACGAAAUGCACCCGCAAUCCUAAACAUAAUUUAUUCAACGUCUUAAAAUUUGAUUUGGGUCACAUGAAAUGCACACCCGAGUUUAGGAAAGUAAUUUUAUAGCGCGCCUAAAGCAACUACGCACUUUCAAGUUUGCGGGGGCCAUGAAAAAUUCAACUAAAUGGCACACCUCAAUUUCUAAAGGAUUAAAAUUAAUUAAGUGAGGGCCAUGCAUUUUGAGAUUUUAUUUGGCACGACGCACCUUAAAUGACUCAGAAAAGAUUUGCUAAUUGUAUACAACCCUUGGGGUAAAUGUGUUACACCUUUAAUUUUCGAUAAGGAUCAAAUUACCCAUAUUGUAUAUUCACUGUCAACUUCCACAAAACAAAAAAAGAAAAAUUGAAUUCCAAACAGGAUAGUCAGGGCAACGGGAAUUAUAACAAAGGAGAAGAACUUCAUUUAUACACCUCUAACAUACAUCAAAAAUAUCAUGCCUUCAGUAUACAAUUAUAUAUAAAAGAGUUCUCAAUCUUGAAAAGGGUCACUCUAAAUCAAAAUUAUUAAAAAAAAUUAAUAGCAACAACCUACAUUUAAUUCUUAUAAAAUUAGACAGAAUCAAAGCAAACAACUUCUUUCUUAUUAAGUAUCAAAGAAACCAUCUUUUCAAUUCCCGUGUAUCAAAUUUCCAUCCUUGAACUGUUUCUUGAUAUCUAAUUAAAGAUUUCACAACAUACUCACACAAGCUAACAUAUACUCCAAGAAAUACAAACCCACAUCCAAUUGUUUUCAUUUUACCACAAUACAAAAUCACAAAAAAAAACACAAAUAAAUAAAUAACCUGGAAUCUCGAAGCAAGCAAAACUCAGCAGAGACAAGAGUUAUCCCAUUGACGAUUGACAAAACCACUCGUUGUUUACAAGCUUAUUCAUGAAAGGGAUCUUUUCACGAAUAUGUAGAGACCAUUCUAAUUUUGUGGCAAAGAGCUUUGGAAUUUCGCCAAAAAUCAGAAGAAUGGAGAGAGAGCGUGGUUGUUGACUUGCUAUUUGAGAGGGAAUCGAUCAGAAGGAGGUGGGGCGUUGGUUGGUUUAAGGUGAAGACCAUGGAAUUUAUGCUCUUCUUCUGUGAAGAAGAAGAAAAUCGACAAGGGGGAGGGGAGUU